AUGGGCAUUUUCUCGCCGCCGUUCCCGUCCCCUUGCCCAGCAGCGCUCGGUAACGGGACGGCGCCAGGGGGCUGCUCGGGGACCGCGGGGCUGCUCGGGGGGCGCCCCGCGGUGCCUGUCCCGGCCCCCCCCGGCCCCGCCGCGAUUUUCCCCCGAGCGGAGCCGCGGAGAAACUUCCCGGGGCCGGCGCGGGGAGCAGCGGAGGCAGCUUUGGGGGGGGGAUCAGCGAACUGCCCGGCGGCACCCGGCCUCCUCCCCUCCCUUCUUUUUUUUUGGUUUUGUUUUAUUUUGAUUUUUUUCCUUCGUUUUCAAACUCCCGAACCGCGCACGGGCAUCGAGAGCCCGGCGACGCCAGGCUGCGGCCUCCCGGUCCCCGCGGGGGCUGCGGGCACCCCCGGCACGGCCCCGGCCGCCCCCCGCAGCAGCGGGGCCGGGCCCGGAGGCUCUGCCCGGUGCCAGGAACAGCGGCUACGGCGCUCGGCGGACACGGAGGCACCGCAGGGCGGCUUCUUUCCCCCGUGCAGCGGCCCCGUGCCAGCAGCCCGGCUCUGGGCAGGCUCCGUGGCCGUGCGCCGCGCCGGGUCUGCUGCAGGGAGCUCGGCAGAGGUGUUUCAGCCGAGGGGAGCUCCUGCCGAGGGGUGUCCCCGCCGAGGGGUGCUCCUCCCGGGGAGCUCCCCACUACCCCUUCGUGCCGGAUCGAUGCCGAGGGUAAACUCGGCCCCGUCGCCCCGCUCCGGGCCCUUCCCGUCGGGUUCUGCCCCCUCCGCACGCCGCUGCCGUCGGUGCCAGCCGAGGCUCCCGCAUCGCUCACGGCGAACACGGUUAAUAAAGAAUUACAGAGCCGUGUGCGCCUCAGCGAGAGCUGCCGGGGAGCCCCGGGAAUGGGUCCCGAGCCCCGGUGGGUCCCGGCGGUGCCGUGGGGCCGGGGGGGUCCCGGCGGGACCGGCUGCCGGGGAGCGGGCGGGCGGCAGCUGGGUGGGCUCGUGCGGGCUGCCGGACAGAGAAAGGGCAGAUAAAAGGCGAAUAAAAGAGAAAAGGAAGAAAAGUAAAGAGGUGGCGGGGACGAGGAGGGGGAGACUAUAA
rnacentral:lncRNA from 1 species